rnacentral:rRNA from 1 species
UACGGAGGGGACUAGCGUUGUUCGGAAUUACUGGGCGUAAAGCGCACGUAGGCGGAUUUGUAAGUCAGGGGUGAAAUCCCGGGGCUCAACCCCGGAACUGCCUUUGAUACUGCAAAUCUCGAGUCCGGAAGAGGUGAGUGGAAUUCCGAGUGUAGAGGUGAAAUUCGUAGAUAUUCGGAAGAACACCAGUGGCGAAGGCGGCUCACUGGCUCGGAACUGACGCUGAGGUGCGAAAGCGUGGGGAGCAAACAGG